rnacentral:pre_miRNA from 10 species
GCAUGGAGCAGCUCAUGGCCUGCUGUCUUGUAUGGCUUUUUAUUCCUAUGUGAUUAUACAUCCCACUUCAUAUAGGGAUUGAAGCCGUGCAAUACACUGGGGUACUACGGCGGAGAACAGC